rnacentral:lncRNA from 1 species
AUGAAUUAAUUAAUUAGUUAGCUACAAGACAAUGAAUUCACGUUUGGCUAGCUAGUGAAGUGAAUCAAUUAUAUCCCUAUAUUGCUUAAUUGCUUAUUCACUCAUCAAGAUGUUUUUUUCUCCAGCUGGAUCAAUUGGCAUUAUGUAGGCUUGUAUAGUUGCAUAUUUUUAUUUUAGCUGAUAUAGGGAUAAGCUUAAGCAUCUAUAUAUGCUCAUGAUGGAUUGAUUCAAGAUCAUCAUCAUCAUGGUCCUUAUUUGUCCACAUUUAU